GACGAACGCUGGCGGCGUGCUUAACACAUGCAAGUCGAACGAAGUGGCGAACGGGUGAGUAACGCGUAAUCAACCUGCCCUUCAGAGGGGGACAACAGUUGGAAACGACUGCUAAUACCGCAUACUGAAGGAGGGGUUUGCGUGUGAUUAGCUAGUUGGAGGGGUAACGGCCCACUAAGGUGAAGAUCAGUAGCCGGUCUGGGAGGAUGAACGGCAACAUUGGGACUGUGGACCGGGCCAGACUCCUACGGGAGGCAGCAGGUGGGAAACUUCCGAAAUGGACGAAAGGCUGACGGAGCAACGCCGCGGGAGUGAUGACGGGCUUCGGGGUGGAAAGCUCUGUUAAUCGGGACGCGGUACCGGAAUAGAAAGCCACGGCUAACUACGUGCCAGCCGCCGCGGUAAUUC
rnacentral:rRNA from 1 species